AUACUCUGGUUUCCCUCCAGAUUGUAUAAAUCUUUCGCCUUUUACUAAAGAGUUCCACAGAGAGGAACAACUCUGAGUCUUUAUUUUUUUAAAUUUUUUGUAGUUGUAGAUGGAUAGCA
rnacentral:snRNA from 1 species